rnacentral:rRNA from 1 species
UACGAGUGGUGCAAGCAUUAUUCGGAAUCAUUGGGCGUAAAGGGUGCGUAGGCGGCAUAUUAAGUCUACUGUUAAAUAUCUCGGCCUAACCGGGAAAAUGCGGUGGAAACUAGUAAGCUAGAGGAUGGAAGAGAGAAGUGGAAUUCUCGGAGUAGCGGUAAAAUGCGUAGAGUACUCGAGAGGAACACCGAUGGCGAAAGCAGCUUCUUG